AUUGACCGCUGGCGGCAGGCCUAACACAUGCAAGUCGAACGAGUGGCGGACUGGUGAGUAAUGUCUGGGAAACUGCCUGAUGGCGGGGGAUAACUACUGGAAACGGUAGCUCAUCCCGCCUACCAUCAGAUGUGCCCAGAUGGGAUUAGCUAGUUGGUGGGGUAACGGCUCACCAAGGCGACGAUCCCUAGCUGGUCUGAGAGGAUGACCAGGCACACUGGAACUGAGAGACGGUCCAGACUCCUACGGGAGGCAGCAGUGGGGAAUAUUGCAAAAGGGGCGGAAGCCUGAUGCAGCCAGGCCGCGUGUAUGAAGAAGUCCUUCGGGUUGUAAAGUACUUUCAGCGGGGAGGCGUUACCCGCAGAAGAAGCACCGGCUAACGCCGUGCCAGCAGCCGCGGUAAUUC
rnacentral:rRNA from 1 species